AAACGACUGCUAAUACCGAAUACGAUCUUGAGUCGCAUGACACAAGAAAAGAAAAAGGGUGGCCUCUACUUGUAAGCUAUCGCCUGAAGAGGGGUUUGCGUCCGAUUAGGUAGUUGGUGAGGUAACGGCCCACCAAGCCGACGAUCGGUAGCCGGUCUGAGAGGAUGAACGGCCACAUUGGAACUGAGACAUGGUCCAGACUCCUACGGGAGGCAGCAGUGGGGAAUCUUCCGCAAUGGGCGAAAGCCUGACGGAGCAACGCCGCGUGAGUGAAGACGGCCUUCGGGUUGUAAAACUCUGUGAUUCGGGACGAAAGAUAAGUAGACGAAUAAUCUGCAUAAGUGACGGUACCGAAAAAGCAAGCCACGGCUAACUACGUGCCAGCAGCCGCGGUAAAU
rnacentral:rRNA from 1 species